UACGUAGGGUGCGAGCGUUUAAUCGGAAUUACUGGGCGUAAAGCGUGCGCAGGCGGUCUGUUAAGACCGAUGUGAAAUCCCCGGGCUUAACCUGGGAACUGCAUUGGUGACUGGCAGGCUUUGAGUGUGGCAGAGGGAGGUAGAAUUCCACGUGUAGCAGUGAAAUGCGUAGAGAUGUGGAGGAAUACCGAUGGCGAAGGCAGGUCUCUGGGCUGAUACUGACGCUCAUGCACGAAAGCGUGGGGAGCAAACAGG
rnacentral:rRNA from 1 species